rnacentral:rRNA from 1 species
AUUGAACGCUGGCGGCAGGCUUAACACAUGCAAGUCGAGCGGAGAUGAGGUGCUUGCACCUUAUCUUAGCGGCGGACGGGUGAGUAAUGCUUAGGAAUCUGCCUAUUAGUGGGGGACAACAUUCCGAAAGGAAUGCUAAUACCGCAUACGCCCUACGGGGGAAAGCAGGGGAUCUUCGGACCUUGCGCUAAUAGAUGAGCCUAAGUCGGAUUAGCUAGUUGGUGGGGUAAAGGCCUACCAAGGCGACGAUCUGUAGCGGGUCUGAGAGGAUGAUCCGCCACACUGGGACUGAGACACGGCCCAGACUCCUACAGGAGGCAGCAGUGGGGAAUAUUGGACCAUGGGCGGAAGCCUGAUCCAGCCAUGCCGCGUGUGUGAAGAAGGCCUUUUGGUUGUAAAGCACUUUAAGCGAGGAGGAGGCUACCUGGAUUAAUACUCUAGGAUAGUGGACGUUACUCGCAGAAUAAGCACCGGCUAACUCUGUGCCAGCCGCCGCGGUAAAAC